GAUGAACGCUGGCGGCGUGCCUAAUACAUGCAAGUCAAGCGAACAGACGAGGAGCUUGCUCCUCUGACGUUAGCGGCGGACGGGUGAGUAACACGUGGAUAACCUACCUAUAAGACUGGGAUAACUUCGGGAAACCGGAGCUAAUACCGGAUAAUAUAUUGAACCGCAUGGUUCAAUAGUGAAAGACGGUUUUGCUGUCACUUAUAGAUGGAUCCGCGCCGCAUUAGCUAGUUGGUAAGGUAACGGCUUACCAAGGCGACGAUGCGUAGCCGACCUGAGAGGGUGAUCGGCCACACUGGAACUGAGACACGGUCCAGACUCCUACGGGAGGCAGCAGUAGGGAAUCUUCCGCAAUGGGCGAAAGCCUGACGGAGCAACGCCGCGUGAGUGAUGAAGGUCUUCGGAUCGUAAAACUCUGUUAUUAGGGAAGAACAAAUGUGUAAGUAACUAUGCACGUCUUAACGGUACCUAAUCAGAAAGCCACGGCUAACUACGUG
rnacentral:rRNA from 1 species